rnacentral:tRNA from 1 species
GAAAAAUUAGUUAAUUAAUAUAACAUAAGCCUGUCACGCUUAAGUAAUCAAACGCUUGAUAUUUUUCA